rnacentral:pre_miRNA from 1 species
UGGUAAGAUGCGAGUAUGGUGCUUCAUAAAUCAAGCACUUCCCGCCUUACCG